rnacentral:rRNA from 1 species
CUAAUACCUUGCCAGUUCGAGCGGACUUGACGGAAGCUUGCUUCCGUUCAGUUAGCGGCGGACGGGUGAGUAACACGUGGGUAACCUGCCUGUAAGACUGGGAUAACUCCGGGAAACCGGGGCUAAUACCGGAUAUUCUUUUUCUUCGCAUGAAGAAGAAUGGAAAGGCGGCUUUUAGCUGUCGCUUACAGAUGGACCCGCGGCGCAUUAGCUAGUUGGUGAGGUAACGGCUCACCAAGGCAACGAUGCGUAGCCGACCUGAGAGGGUGAUCGGCCACACUGGGACUGAGACACGGCCCAGACUCCUACGGGAGGCAGCAGUAGGGAAUCUUCCGCAAUGGACGAAAGUCUGACGGAGCAACGCCGCGUGAGUGAAGAAGGUUUUCGGAUCGUAAAGCUCUGUUGUCAGGGAAGAACAAGUACGGAAGUAACUGUCCGUACCUUGACGGUACCUGACCAGAAAGCCACGGCUAACUACGUGCCAGCAGCCGCGGUAAUACGUAGGUGGCAAGCGUUGUCCGGAAUUAUUGGGCGUAAAGCGCGCGCAGGCGGCUUCUUAAGUCUGAUGUGAAAGCCCACGGCUCAACCGUGGAGGGUCAUUGGAAACUGGGAGGCUUGAGUGCAGAAGAGGAGAGCGGAAUUCCACGUGUAGCGGUGAAAUGCGUAGAGAUGUGGAGGAACACCAGUGGCGAAGGCGGCUCUCUGGUCUGUAACUGACGCUGAGGCGCGAAAGCGUGGGGAGCGAACAGGAUUAGAUCCUGGGGGUAGUCCAAU